UACGGAGGGAGCUAGCGUUGUUCGGAUAUACUGGGCGUAAAGCGCACGUAGGCGGCGCCGUAAGUCAGGGGUGAAAUCCCGGAGCUCAACUCCGGAACUGCCCUUGAAACUGCAGUGCUAGAAUCUUGGAGAGGCGAGUGGAAUUCCGAGUGUAGGGGUGAAAUUCGUAGAUAUUCGGAAGAACACCAGUGGCGAAGGCGACUCGCUGGACAAGUAUUGACGCUGAGGUGCGAAAGCGUGGGGAGCAAACAGG
rnacentral:rRNA from 1 species